UGGGGAAUUUUGGACAAUGGGCGAAAGCCUGAUCCAGCAAUGCCGCGUGUGUGAAGAAGGCCUUCGGGUUGUAAAGCACUUUUGUCCGGAAAGAAAUCCUUGGCUCUAAUACAGUCGGGGGAUGACGGUACCGGAAGAAUAAGCACCGGCUAACUACGUGCCAGCAGCCGCGGUAAUACGUAGGGUGCAAGCGUUAAUCGGAAUUACUGGGCGUAAAGCGUGCGCAGGCGGUUUGCUAAGACCGAUGUGAAAUCCCCGGGCUCAACCUGGGAAACUGCAUUGGUGACUGGCAGGCUAGAGUAUGGCAGAGGGGGGUAGAAUUCCACGUGUAGCAGUGAAAUGCGUAGAGAUGUGGAGGAAUACCGAUGGCGAAGGCAGCCCCCUGGGCCAAUACUGACGCUCAUGCACGAAAAGCGUGGGGAGCAAAACAGGAUUAGAUACCCCUGGUAGUCCACGCCCUAAAACGAUGUCAACUAGUUGUUGGGGAUUCAUUUCCUUAGUAAACGUAGCUAACGCGUGAAGUUGACCGCCUGGGGAGUAACGGUCGC
rnacentral:rRNA from 1 species